CUUGAUUGAUGAAAUGUCACUAGUGCAGGAAAUGAGCCAUGGAUUGGAACAAGUAAUAAUCGGAGGGAGAUAUUUUUCUGCAAUCCUAACAUGCAUAUGCAGUGGUCAAGCAAAGUCAGCUUCCAGAAUCAGCUUCCAGACCC